GACGAACGCUGGCGGCGUGCUUAACACAUGCAAGUCGAACGGUGAAGCGCUUUCCUUUUUGGUUGGUGUGGAUGAGUGGCGAACGGGUGAGUAACACGUGAGUAACCUGCCCCCUUCUUCUGGAUAACCGCAUGAAAGUGUGGCUAAUACGGGAUAUUCUGCGCCUGCUGCAUGGUGGGUGUGGGAAAGAUUGUGCCUUUGGGUGUUUUCGGUGGGGGAUGGGCUCGCGGCCUAUCAGCUUGUUGGUGGGGGGAUGGCCUACCAAGGCGGUGACGGGUAGCCGGCCUGAGAGGGUGGACGGUCACACUGGGACUGCGACACGGCCCAGACUCCUACGGGAGGGAGCAGUGGGGAAUAUUGCACAAUGGGCGCAAGCCUGAUGCAGCGACGCCGCGUGAGGGAGGGAGGCCUUCGGGUUGUGAACCUCUUUCGCCAGUGAAGCAGGCCUGCUCAUUGUGGGUGGGUUGACGGUAGCUGGAUAAGAAGCACCGGCUAACUACGUG
rnacentral:rRNA from 1 species